GUUCUGCCUUUCAGAGCAUAGGCUGACAAUAUUGAAUGUUGGCCAACCUCUUGUUUCUGACUUUCUGAUGUAUUGUGCACCUGCAGACAAAGGACAAGACAAAUCCGAAUGUACUGCUGGAGAUGUUGUUGCUUUCCCUGCAAGGCCUCUCCAUGUAACAUCCUCAGAUCUGGCUCUCAUCAAAGAAGCCAUCACUCGCAUCCUUCCUCCUUUCUCCAGCCUAAAGCAUGUGCUCUUUACAUAAGAUGCCGUCCAAAAAGAACAAGACCUACAGCAUGAGUGGCACAAGGUAAUCUUUCAUAAAAUCCUGUCUGAUAAUGGCUUCUUCAUCUCCAGGGUUCACACAAAGGUUUAAUUCCAGACACUGAACAAAAGUCUAUGUGUACAUGAAUUUCUUCACGGUUGACAAAUGUGAUGUAAAGAAAUUAAAUAUCAUAGCUGAGCCUCAAUGCCUAGAUAGCCUCACAGGUCCGGGACAAGGGAUAAGCAGCAUAGGCAGCUGCCUAUAGCAUCAUUGAAGGCUACCGAUGUUUUUUAAGAAAAUAAGAACUGCUUUCUGACGAAGAAUGAAGAAUCAUUGUUGCACUUGAAACUGUACAGCAAAUCCAAAGAACUUGGAUAUUGCAACACAAACAGGAGUUUACCUUGUGUCAACAGUGACCUACAAAGCAUUGUACAGAGCUGGCAGCAAAGAUGACAUGUUCGGCUGUUAACCUGGAGAUUUACACUGGGUUUCCGAAAAGCUUAUUGUAGAUGGCUGGGCAAUGAGUCAAGAAAAAUAUAGUGAUUUGCCAGCACUGAGAAGCCAUGUAUACAGGAACAAGAGUGGCUUGUUCAUAGCACACAUCCAAGCACUGACUCGAUGACAGAAUGCAUUCAGUAACAAUGGACACAAUGUUGGUUAAGUGCCAUAGAUUAAAGUGACCCUCCAUUUUUAUG